CUGGGACAAUCGAUUAGAACAUCAUAUGACUGAAAAGCAUGAACACAAAAAACAACUAAAAGAAACAAGACACAGAAAGUUGUUAACCCAGUUCGGUGAAACUACACCUACGUCUGGUUAGCUUUCGCCCAAUGAAAAGGAAUUCCACUAUCUCAAGAUCUAGGUAUUACAGACCCACAUGAACACAUCAAGUUCAUUGUUCUUAACCUAAUCUACCCAGUGGUCUUCUACUUAGAACCACAGCCUAAGUAUGAGAGCCCCUCUCACUUUUCCUCAAUCACUGCCACAGUGAUUGGUAACAACAAUAACACAAGGUUUGUUUGACACUCAAACACAACACAUAACUCAGUCUCACUUUAUAGAAUCAGUGAGCAAGACUAGUUCACAACUAACAAAGACAGAGAACAACUUACACUC
rnacentral:lncRNA from 1 species